rnacentral:rRNA from 1 species
UACAGAGGGUGCAAGCGUUAAUCGGAAUUACUGGGCGUAAAGAGCACGUAGGUGGUUUGGUAAGUCAGAUGUGAAAUCCCCGGGCUUAACCUGGGAACUGCAUUUGAUACUGCCUGGCUAGAGUUUAGUAGAGGGAAGUGGAAUUCCACAUGUAGCGGUGAAAUGCGUAGAGAUGUGGAGGAACACCGAUGGCGAAGGCAGCCCCCUGGGCUAACACUGACGCUCAGGCACGAAAGCGUGGGGAGCAAACAGG